GCAAACAUCUCUGAAAAACACUUCAUAGACAAUGCAAAUUACAAACAGACCUUACAAGCUCUGAACAGUGGCACAACAAAGGGUAAAAUGGUCCAUUAUAGACCGAAAAUCUCUCACACGUGUCAACAUGACACAACCUUUAUUUACAAGCCUAAAGAGGCCACCAACCCAACUAAAAUGGGACUAUUAAGCCUUCGGUCGCCCCUCUACAUGCUGUACAAGGCAUGAACAUGCCAAAAGACACGGACAUAUAUAAGCAUUACAUCAAACACCUUGUUUAGAAGUUUGUCCGUGACAUUCUCCCCC
rnacentral:lncRNA from 1 species